AGAGGAUAGUAGGAUCGCUAAAGGUUUAUGAUUUGGUUCGAGGCAAGGUGGAAACCGCAUAAGGGGACAUGAUUUGAUUUUAAUUUGAUUUACAUUUAAAAAUUAAUGAUCUCUCCAGCUGCCUUGUGAAGAAUGGGGUUGGGGGCAAACGGGCAAGCUGAAACACAGUGCAAAGGGCGGGAGACGACAAGGGAUCCGACCACUACCACCGAUGGCAGUGCGAUUGGCAGAAAUUCUGUGAGGAUCUGCAUCUGUAAAUGCUUAGGAUUAAAAAGGAUCUGGCAGGAGAUUCCCCAUUAACUAUGCUUCUUCUGGGGUGCCGAAUGAGAUUCGAAGUUUUUGGCCGGGGCAGGGUUUGAACCCGCCACCUCCGGUGUAUGGGGCCGGUGCCCUAUCCAAAGAACUUUUGAAACAUAGAGGAAAUAAAAAAUGAUUAUACCCUCUAGUUCUGAGGUACCCAACUCCGGGCUGCACUUAUCCAUGGCCUGUUGGGAACCUGGCUAUACAGCAUCACCGCCUAAGCUCCGCCUCCUGUCCCAUCUCUCCUUCCCCACCUCCCCAUCUCCCACUCCCCAUUCACUCCCAAUACCCUGUCCAUGGAAAAAUUGUCUUCCAUGAAGCCAUUCCUUCAUGCCAAAAAAGGUUGAGGGCUGCUGCUCCAGUUCUAGUUCCACCCCUCCAGAAGAGUGUUUCAUGCCUCAAAUUGAGAAUCUGCUGAAUAGAUCCAUUCCCCCCAUAUGUACUAACACAUAAAAUUUUGUAUACAAUCUCAGAUGUACAGAGGCCCCUUUGAAAUAGAUUGUCUCAUUAAGUAUUUUACAAUGUUAUUUUUAAUGAGUGUUAUUCCACUGUAAAGCUAAUUAUUUAACCAAGACUCUAUGUUUAGGUCUUUUUUUAUUAUAGAAAUACAUGCAUGAAAUUUGAUGCAAUUAAAUAUUUGCAUAUUUCUAAGAUUUUUCUCAAGGAGAAAUUCGUAGAAAUGGAGCAGCUAGGGUCAAAAGGUUACAUCUCUUCAAAAUACAAAACAAGCUCUCCAGAAUAGUUCUAACAAUAUAUGGUCACACCAGAAAUAUAGGAGAAUUCCAGUUUAUUCUGAUAUUCCUAUACCCUUACCCACAUUGCUAUUAUAGUUAAAAAAAAUCAGUUUAAUAAACCCUUAUAUUCUAAUUACAGUCUCUCAUCUACUUUAAUUAGAAUAAUCUAUCAUCUCUACUCCUGAUUCUAACCCCUAUCUUUCUACAGUUAACUCCUAGGCCACAUAAGGUUUAAGUUCCCCACUUUUGACUCUAAAAUCUCACAUACACCACAGUCCUAGUUUUAAUUUCAGUCUUCAGCAGCUUCUAGUUCUCUCGCUAACUCCACUCCUUUCCUGGUCCUAAUUCCAACCAAUACCAUUCUUCCUAUGCAGAUGUGGGCACGUAUGAGCAUGUGUGCGCCCACACAUUAUUUUCACGUCUCUGAUUGGAGAAUAUUCAAAAAAUAUGUGAAAACAGAAAGAAAAUACAAAAAGGAAAAGACUUGUAAUUUCCCUACCCAAUGAAAACUACUGUUAAUAUUUUGCUUUUAUGUCUUCCAACCUUUUCUAUGAAUUAUAUGUGUAUUUAUAGCUUUAAACAAGAAUAUUAUCAUAGCAUGUUAUUAUAUUAUCAUAGCAUGUUAUACUUGUCAU